CGGGACACGUGGUAUCCUGUCUGAAUAUGGGGGGACCAUCCUCCAAGGCUAAAUACUCCUGACUGACCGAUAGUGAACCAGUACCGUGAGGGAAAGGCGAAAAGAACCCCGGCGAGGGGAGUGAAAAAGAACCUGAAACCGUGUACGUACAAGCAGUGGGAGCACGCUUCGGCGUGUGACUGCGUACCUUUUGUAUAAUGGGUCAGCGACUUAUAUUCUGUAGCAAGGUUAACCGAAUAGGGGAGCCGAAGGGAAACCGAGUCUUAACUGGGCGUUAAGUUGCAGGGUAUAGACCCGAAACCCGGUGAUCUAGCCAUGGGCAGGUUGAAGGUUGGGUAACACUAACUGGAGGACCGAACCGACUAAUGUUGAAAAAUUAGCGGAUGACUUGUGGCUGGGGGUGAAAGGCCAAUCAAACCGGGAGAUAGCUGGUUCUCCCCGAAAGCUAUUUAGGUAGCGCCUCGUGAAUUCAUCUCCGGGGGUAGAGCACUGUUUCGGCAAGGGGGUCAUCCCGACUUACCAACCCGAUGCAAACUGCGAAUACCGGAGAAUGUUAUCACGGGAGACACACGGCGGGUGCUAACGUCCGUCGUGAAGAGGGAAACAACCCAGACCGCCAGCUAAGGUCCCAAAGUCAUGGUUAAGUGGGAAACGAUGUGGGAAGGCCCAGACAGCCAGGAUGUUGGCUUAGAAGCAGCCAUCAUUUAAAGAAAGCGUAAUAGCUCACUGGUCGAGUCGGCCUGCGCGGAAGAUGUAACGGGGCUAAACCAUGCACCGAAGCUGCGGCAGCGACACUAUGUGUUGUUGGGUAGGGGAGCGUUCUGUAAGCCUGUGAAGGUGUACUGUGAGGUAUGCUGGAGGUAUCAGAAGUGCGAAUGCUGACAUAAGUAACGAUAAAGCGGGUGAAAAGCCCGCUCGCCGGAAGACCAAGGGUUCCUGUCCAACGUUAAUCGGGGCAGGGUGAGUCGACCCCUAAGGCGAGGCCGAAAGGCGUAGUCGAUGGGAAACAGGUUAAUAUUCCUGUACUUGGUGUUACUGCGAAGGGGGGACGGAGAAGGCUAUGUUGGCCGGGCGACGGUUGUCCCGGUUUAAGCGUGUAGGCUGGUUUUCCAGGCAAAUCCGGAAAAUCAAGGCUGAGGCGUGAUGACGAGGCACUACGGUGCUGAAGCAACAAAUGCCCUGCUUCCAGGAAAAGCCUCUAAGCAUCAGGUAACAUCAAAUCGUACCCCAAACCGACACAGGUGGUCAGGUAGAGAAUACCAAGGCGCUUGAGAGAACUCGGGUGAAGGAACUAGGCAAAAUGGUGCCGUAACUUCGGGAGAAGGCACGCUGAUAUGUAGGUGAAGCGACUUGCUCGUGGAGCUGAAAUCAGUCGAAGAUACCAGCUGGCUGCAACUGUUUAUUAAAAACACAGCACUGUGCAAACACGAAAGUGGACGUAUACGGUGUGACGCCUGCCCGGUGCCGGAAGGUUAAUUGAUGGGGUUAGCGGUAACGCGAAGCUCUUGAUCGAAGCCCCGGUAAACGGCGGCCGUAACUAUAACGGUCCUAAGGUAGCGAAAUUCCUUGUCGGGUAAGUUCCGACCUGCACGAAUGGCGUAAUGAUGGCCAGGCUGUCUCCACCCGAGACUCAGUGAAAUUGAACUCGCUGUGAAGAUGCAGUGUACCCGCGGCAAGACGGAAAGACCCCGUGAACCUUUACUAUAGCUUGACACUGAACAUUGAGCCUUGAUGUGUAGGAUAGGUGGGAGGCUUUGAAGUGUGGACGCCAGUCUGCAUGGAGCCGACCUUGAAAUACCACCCUUUA
rnacentral:rRNA from 1 species